rnacentral:rRNA from 1 species
GACGAACGCUGGCGGCGUGCUUAACACAUGCAAGUCGAACGGAAAGGCCCUGCUUUUGUGGGGUGCUCGAGUGGCGAACGGGUGAGUAACACGUGAGUAACCUGCCCUUGACUUUGGGAUAACUUCAGGAACUGGGGCUAAUACCGGCUAGGAGCUUCUUCUGCCUGGUGGGGGUUGGGAAGUUUCGGCGGUUGGGGAUGGACUCGCGGCUUAUCAGCUAGUUGGUGGGGGAGUGGCUUACAAAGGCUUUGACGGGUAGCCGGCCUGAGAGGGUGACCGGGCACAUUGGGACUGAGAUACGGCGCAGACUGGUACGGGAGGCAACAGUGGAGAAUAUUGCACAAUGGGCGGAAGCGUGAUGCAGCAACGUCGCGUGCGGGAUGACGGCUUUCGGGUUGUAAACCGCUUUCGCCUGUGACGAAGCGUUCGUGACGGUAAUGGGUAAAGAAGCACCGGCUAACUACGUG